rnacentral:rRNA from 1 species
GACGAACGCUAGCGGCGGGCUUAAUACAUGCAAGUUUAGGGGUUCAGCAAUGGACACCGGCGGACGGGUGCGUAACACGUAUGCAACCUGCCCUUUACUGGAGGAUACUCCGGAGAAAUUCGGCACAACACUCCAUAUACUCAUACUUUCGCAUGGGAGAAUGAGGAAAGGUUACGGUAAAGGAUGGGCAUGCGUCUGAUUAGCUAGUUGGCGAGGUAACGGCUCACCAAGGCGACGAUCAGUAGCUGGUCUGAGAGGAUGAUCAGCCACACUGGCACUGAGAUACGGGCCAGACUCCUACGGGAGGCAGCAGUAGGGAAUAUUGGUCAAUGGGCGAAAGCCUGAACCAGCCACGCCGCGUGCAGGAAGAAGGUCCUCUGGAUUGUAAACUGCUUUUGCCAAGGGAUAAAGAGAGGCUAUACGCCUAAAUGAAGGUACUUGGUGAAUAAGCCACGGCUAACUACGUGCCAGCAGCCGCGGU